UACGUAGGAUGCAAGCGUUAAUCGGAAUUACUGGGCGUAAAGCGUGCGUAGACGGUUAUUUAAGUCGGGUGUGAAAGCCCCGGGCUCAACCUGGGAAUUGCAUUCGAGACUGAAUAGCUAGGGUACGGUAGAGGGAAGCGGAAUUUCCGGUGUAGCGGUGAAAUGCGUAGAUAUCCGGAGGAACACCAGUGGCGAAGGCGGCCUUCUGGGAUGCUCCUGACGCUCAGACACGAAAGCUAGGGGAGCGAACGGG
rnacentral:rRNA from 1 species